rnacentral:rRNA from 1 species
CAGCCGUAAACAAUGUGCGUUAGGUGUGUCGGUAACCACGUGUUACUGAUGCGCCGAAGAGAAAUCGUGAAACGCACCACCUGGGAAGUACGGUCGCAAGGCUGAAACUUAAAGGAAUUGGCGGGGGGAGCACCACAACAGGUGGAGCCUGCGGUUUAAUUGGAUUCAACGCCGGACAUCUCACCGGAUAAGACAGCUGAAUGAUUGUCAAUCUGAAGGUUUUACAUGACUAGCUGAGAGGAGGUGCAUGGCGUA